CCACACCUGUUCCCAUGCCGAACACAGAAGUUAAGCUCUUUAGCGCCGAUGGUAGUCGGACUUACGUUCCGCAAGAGUAGGACGUUGCCAAGC
rnacentral:rRNA from 1 species